rnacentral:lncRNA from 1 species
CAAGUGAUUAGGAUUAUUAUUAUUAUUUUAUUUACGUGUAAAUUGAAACAAUAAAUAUUGUACUGUGUCAUAAUUUAAAACUCAUUAUGUUGCAGUCUUUUCUAGUUGAUAAAAUUGCAAUUCAAAAACUUUUAGGUAGAUUUGCACUGUAUGGAUGGCACAGGAAGAGAACAAGAGUACAAGAACAUGAAACAUCUUAUUAUGAAUGUAUAUGUAUGUGAUCCUCAAAAAAUUAUUUUACAAAACAAGAUGGAGAAAGAGCUUUAAAAUCCCAAGGAUCCUGCAAAAUGUUUAUUUGGUGUACUAGUCGAAUAAUAGUAUCUAAAAAUAUUGAAACUGAUUGUUGUGCAGUAACAUAUUUUAAAACACAUUACGGGUAUGAGGAUGAUAUAGAGCACUUACAUAAGUACCAAAAUCAGAUAAAUAUCUCUUCAAAGUUUAUUUUGAGACUUUCUUCAAAAAUUAAACUUCAGACUGUUCAGGAUAGCAUAAUAGCAUAGGAGGCGAA